rnacentral:rRNA from 1 species
GAUGAACGCUAGCGGCAGGCCUAAUACAUGCAAGUCGAACGGUGUCUUCGGACAUAGUGGCGCACGGGUGCGUAACACGUAUGCAACCUACCUUACAUGGGGGGAUAGCCUUUCGAAAGGGAGAUUAAUACCGCAUAAGACAGUAGCUGGGCAUCCAGCAGCUGUUAAAGAUUUAUCGAUGUAAGCUGGGCAUGCGUCCAAUUAGCUAGUUGGUGAGGUAACGGCUCACCAAGGCAAUGAUUGGUAGGGGAACUGAGAGGUCAAUCCCCCACACUGGGACUGGGAUACGGGCAAGACUCCUACGGGAGGCAGCAGUAGGGAAUAUUGGGCAAUGGACGCAAGUCUGACCCAGCCAUGCCGCGUGCAGGAUGAGGGCGUUAUGCGUUGUAAACUGCUUUUAUACAGGAAGAAACGACUCUUGCGAGAGGCAUUGACGGUACUGUAUGAAUAAGCACCGGCUAACUCCGUGCCAGCCGCCGCAGUAAGAC